rnacentral:rRNA from 1 species
UACGUAGGGUGCGAGCGUUAAUCGGAAUUGCUGGGCGUAAAGCGUGCGCAGGCGGUUUUGCAAGCCGGAUGUGAAAUCCCCGGGCUCAACCUGGGAAUGGCAUUCGGGACUGCAAGGCUGGAGUGCGGCAGAGGAGACUGGAAUUCCUGGUGUAGCAGUGAAAUGCGUAGAUAUCAGGAGGAAUACCGAUGGCGAAGGCAGGUCUCUGGGCUGACACUGACGCUCAUGCACGAAAGCGUGGGUAGCAAACAGG